GCGUCUUAGGAGUAUUCUAAAAGACGAAGAUGUAAAUAAGCAAAAUACCAUUCAAGAAUGGCCAAGAUUAUGUGAUAAAAAUGGAUACUUAUUGGUUGAUUGCGAUUUUGACAUCCUACACGAGGGAAUAAACAAAACAAAAAAUCUGUUUGAAAAUUGGGAGCAGUUCGCAGUUCACUUUAUAAAGUACAUUCAGAUAAGCAACAUAAAAGACCAUUUCUCUCUAGAGCUUGUGAUGUUAUUGGAUGACCCAAAUUUACCUCUAGACUCCCGUGACUACAUUAUUUGCACUGUUUUCCAUGCUAUUCUAAAGCCGGUUAGGGCAUCGAAUAAAAAACUACCAACGAUUCUUCAGGCGCAAAUUGACGUAUGCCGUAUAUUUGAUACUCAACAGGAGUACAAAAAGGCGCUCUGUGAUUUGCGAGAAGAGUUUACUUCUAAUAACCAAUCAUUGUCACCUAGAAUUUGUGUUAUUGGAAAACCUAACCGUUUCGAAUCAUAUUUCGUCGUUACGAAAUCGCUGGAGUAUCAGCUCCCUUCUUUUCUACGUUGCCUGGAUGUUGUUCUAAAGCUCAAAACUAUCCUUGGUUUUGAGUAUCCUGAAAGCUGUGAAAUUUUCUGGUGUUUCAUCAGUCGAUUUUUUUACAAUAUUGAC